rnacentral:rRNA from 1 species
GGGUCAGUAGGUUGGUCGUGCCACCGGUACGUACUGGUCUCACUGAUUCCUCCUUCCUGAAGAACCGUAAUGCCAUUAAUUUGGUGUUGCGGGGAAACAGGACUGUUACCUUGAAAAAAUUAGAGUGUUUAAAGCAAGCUAACGCUUGAAUACAUCAGCAUGGAAUAAUGAAAUAGGACGAUCGAUCCUAUUUUGUUGGUUUCUAGGAUUGACGUA